AGGACGAACGCUGGCGGCGUGCUUAACACAUGCAAGUCGAGCGGAAAGGCCCUUCGGGGUACUCGAGCGGCGAACGAGUGAGUAACACGUGAGUAAUCUGCCCCUAGCUCUGGGAUAGCUCCGGGAAAACCGGGAUUAAUACCGGAUACGACCACCUUAGACAUCUUUUGUGGUGGAAAGAAUUUCGGCUAGGGAUGAGCUCGCGGCCUAUCAGCUUGUUGGUGGGGUAACGGCCUACCAAGGCGACGACGGGUAGCCGGCCUGAGAGGGCGACCGGCCACACUGGGACUGAGACACGGCCCAGACUCCUACGGGAGGCAGCAGUGGGGAAUAUUGCGCAAUGGGCGAAAGCCUGACGCAGCGACGCCGCGUGGGGGAUGAAGGCCUUCGGGUUGUAAACCCUUUCAGCAGGGACGAAGCGAAAGUGACGGUACCUGCAGAAGAAGCGCCGGCUAACUACGUGCCAGCAGCCGC
rnacentral:rRNA from 1 species